UAAUUCCCAAAUUGAAUCAGAAACCCUAAUUCCCAAAUUGAGGAACCCUAACCCUAGCUUCCCUUUGCCUCAGCCGCACCCCACCCCUCUUUCACCCUCUUCAGCUAACACACUCAUUUCCUCACUAUACACACGCACGCAUACAUAUCGAGAAGACAGGAAGAGAGAGCGCCAGCGAAGAAGAGGGCGCCGUCGUACUGCCACUGUCCGUGCUGUCGUGCCUCCGUCACCAUCAGAGUCGUCGUCGCCGUUUGUGGAACCGCGAGGAGCCGUCACCAUCGCUGUUCAACCUCGUCCCGCCGCGCCUCCAUGGUCGCCGUUGCUGCGAGCUUGCCACUGCCAAGGAGAAGCUGCCGUCGCGUCCUGUCCCACCGUCACCGUCGCUGCCCUGGAGCUCACCCACCGUCGUCAUUGAGGGGCCAGCAGAGAGAGAGAACGAAUGUGGGUCAGGAUCGUCACUAGGAAGAGGAGCUAUGCUCCACGCUACCGUCGCCACCAGUCCACGGCCACCACUGUGAGGGUUCUGCUGUCGUCGUUCCAGUGCCGCCAUUCAUGCCCUCUGUUCCCUUCGUCGUUCUGUCCAGCAUCACCAGCACUGAAGUUAGCUUCUACCACCAUCAAGCCUGAAGGGAAGCGCCACUGCUAUUGCCCGACAGUAGCUUCCUCUGCGUUCCCAAUUCUCUUCUUGAAACUUGUUAUCAUCCUUAUCCGGAACCACUGAUGUCACCGCUAUAGAAGUGAUUGGGAUAGCCGUGAUUGUCAUUGUUGUUGCUGCCCCAGAAGAAGUGAGGCUGCUACUGUUGUUCCGGCCACAUUGGCUAUUGUAAACUGGGAAAAAGAAGAGGAUCAUUGCGUUUAAGUUCGACGGUUUCGACUAAUUAAGUGAUACAGGUUCGAAGACUCAGUUUGAAGCUGCGGGCGAUUGUAGAAUUUAUUUAUGAGAUAAGUUUUUGAGUUAGGUUAUUUUCAUAGAAUUCCCUCGCCCUUGUUACUUUAGUUUUUAUUUUAUGCAGAGGGAUCGGAGU